rnacentral:rRNA from 1 species
UGCCAGCCGCCGCGGUAAUACGGAGGGUGCAAGCGUUAUCCGGAUUUACUGGGUUUAAAGGGUGCGUAGGUGGGUCUGUAAGUCAGUGGUGAAAUCUCCGAGCUUAACUCGGAAACUGCCAUUGAUACUAUAGGUCUUGAAUAUUGUGGAGGUCAGCGGAAUAUGUCAUGUAGCGGUGAAAUGCUUAGAUAUGACAUAGAACACCAAUUGCGAAGGCAGCUGGCUACACAUCUAUUGACACUGAGGCACGAAAGCGUGGGGAUCAAACAGGAUUAGAUA